AUGCGGCGGUGCCGGGGCGCAGGGCUGGCGGGGCUGGCCGCGGUGCUCCUGGUGGCUAUGGGCAGAGCCCAGGUGCAGCAGGAGCCGUCGGCAGAGACCACCGAGGGCACCGGCAUCAACAUCACUUGCUCACACCCCAACAUACAGACCAGCGACUUCAUCUAUUGGUACCGUCAGCUCCCGGGCCGAGGCCCCGCAUUCCUCACGUUCGGUCAUAAAGGGACCAAAGAGGUGCCGGACCCGCCGGGGCGGCUGUGGGUGGCGGCAGACCGCCGGUCCAGCGCCCUGUGGCUCGCCCGGCCCCGGCGCGGGGACGCGGCGGUGUAUUACUGCGCCCUGAGAGACACGGGGAGAGGAGCCGGGGCUGCGGCCGGGCACGAACCACGAAGCAGGAAGGGCGGCGGGCGGGGCCGGGCGUCCCAGGCUGCCUUUGAUCUUCACAUCCCCAACGAGCUCUUCCUUGUUGGUACAUAUGAGGUCCAGCAGAACACCUGUCCUUGUUGGAUCUUCUCUCACUUGGGUGAUGAAGUUGUCGUCCAUGCACUCCAGAAAACUCCUGGCUUCCUUAUGUCCUGCUGUGUUGUCCCUCUAGCAGAUAUUGUGGUGGCUGAAGUUCCCCAUGAGGAGCAGGGCCUGUGA